ACAGUGUACUUACAUAUAAUAAAUAAAUAAAUCUUUAAAAAAAAAAUAAGAGGGGACUAGAGGGCACCUAUGUGGGAGUUGUUUGUUUUAAUAAGGAGAUUACUUUUGCAUCUUUUGGUUAUUUGAUUGGGUAUUUUUGUUGUGAUUUUAUUUUUGUUUUCUUUUGUUGUUUUCUGGUUUUUUGGAGACAAGGUCUUUCUGUAGUUCCAGCUGUCCUAGAACUUCCAAUGUAGAGCAGGCUGGCCUUGAACUUACAGAGAUGUUUUCUUUUUUGAGGCGAUGCUUUCUGUCAUGAGGAUCAUGGGGAUUGAAUUCAAGUAGUCAGGUUUGACAGCAGGCUCCUCACCCAUUAAACCUUCUUGCCUGUCCAGGGUGUCUUUUAAAAUGUAUUUUAAUGGAGCUGGAGAGAUGGCUCAGUGGUUAAGAGCAUCCUCUGCUCUUCCAGAGGUCCUGAGUUCAAUCCCAGCAACCACAUGGUGGCUCACAACCAUCUGUAAUGAGAUCUGAUGCCCUCUUCUGGUGUGUCUGAAGACAGCUACAGUGUAUUCAUAUAAAUAAAAUAAACAAAUCUUUAAAAAAAUGUAUUUUAAUAUAAAGUAUAUCCAUCAGUUUCUAAAUUAUAAAAUAUAUUUAUCAGUAGAUAUGUAAAAUCUUAAAAAUUACUUCUGAAUUUCAGAAAUGUGUUUCUUAUUCAAGUUUUAAGUGCUUGAAUUCACUAGGGAGUCAUUUUGAAGAUUUAUUUUUUUAAAUAUAUGUAUAUGUGUGUAUAUGUAUAUGUGUGUGCUCAAGAAUAACUAUGAAUUUUCCAACUAUCUUCUAUGAAUGAGAAUGUGUUUCAUUUGCUUAAGGAAAAAUGACAAUUAUUCAUGUACAUUGAAAAAACUGCAUGGGAUGGGUUUCAUUUUAAUGUUGUGAUAGCUGCCCAACACCAGUAGAGGGUGCCCAAGCUCACCUCUCUUGAAUUAUAUAUGGAAAAUGAAGGUUUCUUGGAGGAGACUCAUUUAGAAACACUUAGAGGUUCUACAGAAGGGCAUUUGUUCUAAUUUUCCCUAACUCUGAGGGAAGAAAUGCUACUCUCGAGUAUAAUAUAAUCACCUCAUCAAAACUUACCUGCAUAAAAUAACUUUUGGGGACCCAUGAUGGAGGAGAAACUGAGGCAGGACAGAAUAGAACUCCAAGCCAGCCUGGACUGUGUGGGGAAUUAAUCUAACCUGGGGUACAUAAUGAAUGCAAAUAAAUAAGGCUGAUGAGAUGUCUCAGCAGGUAAAGUGAUAAAAUGGAUUUCCAGAACCCCAAGUGGCAGGAGAGACCCUGACUCUCAAAGUUGUCCAAGUGUGUGUGUGUGUGUGUGUGUGUGUGUGUGUGUGUAUGUAUGGAAACAUGCCCACACAUGGACAUACGAACAUACAGAAUGAAGAAAUGAAAUGCAAUUUAAAUUUUU
rnacentral:lncRNA from 1 species